rnacentral:rRNA from 1 species
UAACGAAUCUUCCGCAAUGCUCGAAAGAGUGACGGAGCGACGCCGCGUGCAGGACGAAGCCCUUCGGGGUGUAAACUGCUGUCAGGGGAUAGAAAGUUCUGAUCAUCCCCAGAGGAAGGCACGGCUAACUCUGUGCCAGCAGCCGCGGUAAGACAGAGGUGCCAAGCGUUAGGCGGAAUCACUGGGCUUAAAGCGUGUGUAGGCGGAUGCCUAAGUACCUUGUGAAAUCCCACGGCUCAACCGUGGAACUGCUGGGUAUACUGGGUGUCUUGGGUCAACUAGGGGUCGUCGGAACAAAUGGUGGAGCGGUGAAAUGCGUAGAUAUCAUUUGGAACGCCAAUGGCGAAAGCAGACGACUGGGGUUGCACCGACGCUGAGACACGAAAGCCAGGGGAGCGAACGGGAUUAGAUACCCCCGUAGUCC